rnacentral:rRNA from 1 species
GAUGAACGCUGGCGGCGUGCCUAAUACAUGCAAGUCGAGCGAACAGACGAGGAGCUUGCUCCUCUGACGUUAGCGGCGGACGGGUGAGUAACACGUGGAUAACCUACCUAGAAGACUGGGAUAACUUCGGGAAACCGGAGCUAAUACCGGAUAAUAUAUUGAACCGGAUGGUUCAAUAGUGAAAGAGGGUUUUGCUGUCACUUAUAGAUGGAUCCGUGCCGGAUUAGCUAGUUGGUAAGGUAACGGCGUACCAAGGCAACGAUGCGUAGCCGACCUGAGAGGGUGACCGGCCACACUGGGACUGAGACACGGUCCAGACUCCUACGGGAGGCAGCAGUAGGGAAUCUUCGGCAAUGGGCGAAAGCCUGACGGAGCAACGCCGCGUGAGUGAUGAAGGUCUUCGGAUCGUAAAACUCUGUUAUUAGGGAAGAACAAAUGUGUAAGUAACUAUGCACGUCUUGACGGUACCUAAUCAGAAAGCCACGGCUAACUACGUG